UGCAAACUUCAAACCAAUCGAUAUAGUAUACGCUGAUCACUUUUCUCCUGAAAUACAAAGCAUAUGCAAAUGUUAACAAUUGAACACCAAGAGCCAUAAUAUUCGGUGUGUCUAUUUCAACUCAAGACAAACACAAAAUAUGAUAUUCAAACAAAACUUGGCUAUCGCCCUCAAUAUCACAUCUACACCAUUACAGCAGUGCAAAUUUUGUGCACAAAGCAAGAGGCAUUUCAUUCUCCUGAAGGAUUCAAUUUUCAUACCAAAUUUUUACAUCACUUCUUUAAAGGGGGAAGAAACAGAUGUUAUCUUCAUAAUUGCACUGUGAUCAGCAACUUUUAGUAGCUUGUAUAAUAAGGUGAAUUGUAUACCAUGUCGAACAGUAUUAAGAAAAAAAAGAAAUUAAAAUACUAUUCAUUAUUCUAUAAAUCUGUAUUGAGUACCACAUAUCAAACAUGUCUAAAUGCCCAAAGCGAUAAGCCAAUAACAUAGUCUCCUGUAGAUAUUACCUAUCGACUUCCACAUUGCACCAGUAAUAACUCAAUGCAGGCCAAAGUUCAAAUCUUGGGAAAACAAAAUAUACAUAAAUGCACCGAAUUGAAGUGCUUCCAUAUCGUUAUGGCAGGGGAACGACUCCACAACAACCAACACCUAUUUAAUUUGAUGGUCACCCACCAACGCAGAGAAAGAGAUAUUUACAUAAUUGACACAUGGGAAGUCACAUAUAUUUAAGAAAUACGAACUGUUCAUCAUUAGAAACUAAAAUCAAAACAAAAAGAUCCACAACCUUGCAUGAAUUUAACUUAAGAUCAAUAUUAAUAUUUCGAACAACAAAAAGGAAAACAGAAAAGAACAGAUCAAGAUUCAGGGACAGGGAAAAAAAAAAAAAAAAAAACCACUUUAAACACAAUACUGUAUACUCCAUAUACAUCGAAAUUAUUGAAAAAUCAGCUGAAAAUAGAGAUGGCCCAACAAUUUUUUAAUUUCAUUAUUGCCACCCUACCCUACGCCACCCCACCCCCACGAACCCAACCCCCUCACACGCCAAAAAAGAGAGACCCCUGAAAAGCUCCGGCCCCAUGGAUCUGGAAACGCCGUUUGACUUAAGAAGAAGCACAAAGAGGGAUCCUAAAAGCUUUGAUAACCACAUAAUAAACAACAAUCUAAUGACUUCACAAAUUAAUAAUAAUUUCCAUUUUCCUCGGCAAUCUACGAAAGUUGAUUAAGACACAUAACCAAUAUUUCAACAUCUAAACGGCAACCGAUAAAAUCAUAAAUUCACAAUUAACCGACAAAUAAAGACUAAAUAACGUUUCUGUCAAAUCACGAAAGCCCACACAGGUAUAUAUAAUAUAAAACCCGGACAAAACAUUUAUAGAUAUCAUAGAAAAUUCAAAAAUAUGCACAUAAUAAAUAGAGACCCCAGAAACAGCUAUUCAUUCGGUUCAUAGAAUACACCAUCAAGAAAGCAAUCCUGAAGAAAACUCGUAACUUUGCAUGUUUUGACAUAAAAACAAAACAAAAAAAAAAAAAA